rnacentral:rRNA from 1 species
AUAAGGUUUUCAUUAUUCUUACUGGCACAAGAGGAAGAACCCUAGCAGUUGCAGUCUAUUCUCUAUGUGGAUUUUAUUGGAGGCUGGAUAAUUGGAUAACUAUGGAAGGCAGAUUCAAGUUGCUGAAAAGAAUAACGCAAAGGA